GGUGCAGAAUAAGGGGUGGGCAAGUCUGGUGUCAGCCGCCGCGGUAAUACCAGCACCCCGAGUGGUCGGGACGAUUAUUGGGCCUAAAGCAUCCGUAGCCGGUUCUGCAAGUCUUCCGUUAAAUCCACCUGCUUAACAGAUGGGCUGCGGAGGAUACUACAGAGCUAGGAGGCGGGAGAGGCAAGCGGUACUCAAUGGGUAGGGGUAAAAUCCGCUGAUCCAUUGAAGACCACCAGUGGCGAAGGCGGCUUGCCAGAACGCGCUCGACGGUGAGGGAUGAAAGCUGGGGGAGCAAACCGGAUUAGAUACCCGGGUAGUCCCAGCUGUAAACGAUGCAGACUCGGUGAUGGGCUGGCCUUGUGCCAACCCAGUGCCGCAGGGAAGCCGUUAAGUCUGCCGCCUGGGGAGUACGGUCGCAAGACUGAAACUUAAAGGAAUUGG
rnacentral:rRNA from 1 species